rnacentral:tRNA from 1 species
UCCCUGGUGGCUCAGAUGGUAAAGCGUCUGCCUUCAAUGCGGGAGACCUGGGUUCGAUCCCUGGUUUGGGAA